AUUGAACGCUGGCGGCAUGCCUUACACAUGCAAGUCGAACGGCAGCGUGGAGAGCUAGCUUUCUGAUGGCGAGUGGCGAACGGGUGAGUAAUGCAUCGGAACGUACCGUGUAAUGGGGGAUAACGUAGCGAAAGUUACGCUAAUACCGCAUACGACCUGAGGGUGAAAGCAGGGGAUCGCAAGACCUUGCGUUAUACGAGCGGCCGAUGUCAGAUUAGCUAGUUGGUGAGGUAAAGGCUCACCAAGGCGACGAUCUGUAGCGGGUCUGAGAGGAUGAUCCGCCACACUGGGACUGAGACACGGCCCAGACUCCUACGGGAGGCAGCAGUGGGGAAUUUUGGAAAAUGGGGGCAACCCUGAUCCAGCCAUGCCGCGUGAGUGAAGAAGGCCUUCGGGUUGUAAAGCUCUUUCGGCCGGGAAGAAAUCGCACAGGCUAAUACUCUGUGUGGAUGACGGUACCGGCAUAAGAAGCACCGGCUAACUACGUGCCAGCCGCCGCAGUAACAC
rnacentral:rRNA from 1 species